AUUGAACGCUGGCGGCAGGCCUAACACAUGCAAGUCGAGCGGAGCGGCGGACGGGUGAGUUAUGCCUAGGAAUCUGCCUGGCAGUGGGGGAUAACGUACGGAAACGGGCGCUAAUACCGCAUACUAUCAUAUUAGCCUAGGUCGGAUUUGCUAGUUGGUGGGGUAAAGGCUUACCAAGGCGACGAUCCGUAACUGGUCUGAGAGGAUGAUCAGUCACACUGGAACUUAGACUGGGUCCAGACUCCUACGGGAGGCAGCAGUGGUGAAUAUUGGACAAUGGGCGAAAGCCUGUUCCAGCCAUUCCGCGUGUGUGAAGAAGGUCUUCGGAUUGUAAAGCACUUUAAGUUGGGAGGCGUUACCAACAUAAUAAGCACCGGCUAACUUCGUGCCAGCAGCCGCGGUAAUUC
rnacentral:rRNA from 1 species